UACGGAGGGUGCAAGCGUUAAUCGGAAUUACUGGGCGUAAAGCGUACGCAGGCGGUUUGUUAAGUCAGAUGUGAAAUCCCCGGGCUCAACCUGGGAACUGCAUUUGAUACUGGCAAGCUAGAGUACCGUAGAGGGGGAUGGAAUUCCAGGUGUAGCGGUGAAAUGCGUAGAGAUCUGGAGGAAUACCGGUGGCGAAGGCGGCCCCCUGGGCGAAGACUGACGCUCAUGUGCGAAAGCGUGGGGAGCAAACAGG
rnacentral:rRNA from 1 species